GCGAGUGUAGCUCAAUUGGAUAGAGCACCGGUCUACGAAACCGGCGGUUGAAGGUUCGAGUCCUUCCACUCGCG
rnacentral:tRNA from 7 species